AUAACGGUCCUAAGGUAGCGAAAUUCCUUGUCGGGUAAGUUCCGACCCGCACGAAUGGUGUAACGAUCUGGGCACUGUCUCAACUACCCACCCGGCGAAAUUGUAGUACCGGUGAAGAUGCCGGUUACCUGCGGCAAGACGGAAAGACCCCAUGGAGCUUUACUGUAGCCUGAUAUUGGGUUUCGGAAAUCUAUGUACAGGAUAGGCGGGAGACUAGGAAGUAUGAGCGUCAGCUUAUACGGAGUCGUUGUUGGGAUACCGCCCUUAGGUUUCUGGAAUUCUAACCUGCGACCGUGAAUCCGGUCGGGGGACAUUGUCAGGUGGGCAGUUUGACUGGGGCGGUCGCCUCCGAAAAGGUAACGGAGGCGCUCAAAGGUUGGCUCAGCACGGACGGAAACCGUGCCUCUGAGUGUAAACGCAAAAGCCAGCCUAACUGCGAGGAUGACGGUCCGAGCAGUAACGAAAGUUGGAGUUAGUGAUCCGGCGGUAUGUGAAUGGAAAUGCCGUCGCUCAACGGAUAAAAGCUACCCUGGGGAUAACAGGCUGAUCUCCCCCAAGAGUCCACAUCGACGGGGAGGUUUGGCACCUCGAUGUCGGCUCAUCACAUCCUGGGGCUGUAUUCGGUCCCAAGGGUUCGGCUGUUCGCCGAUUAAAGUGGUACGCGAGCUGGGUUCAGAACGUCGCGAGACAGUUCGGUCCCUAUCUGUCGUGGGCGCAGGAUAUUUGAGGAGCUCUGUCCUUAGUACGAGAGGACCGGGAUGGACGUACCUCUGGUGCACCAGUUGUCAUGCCAAUGGCACGGCUGGGCAGCUACGUACGGAACGGAUAAACGCUGAAAGCAUCUAAGCGUGAAGCCGACUCCAAGAUUAGAUAUCCCAUUGCAUAAGCAAGUAAGACCCCUUGAGGACUACGAGGUUGAUAGGCUGCGUGUGUAAGUGUCGUGAGGCAUUUAGCUUGGCAGUACUAAUAGGUCGAGGGCUUGACCAC
rnacentral:rRNA from 1 species